rnacentral:lncRNA from 1 species
UAAUAAUUGACAUAGACGUUAUGGUUCAGUGGUUUACUUUAAUUGAAGUUAUAUGGUUUUUAUGAAUGUAACAAAGUACUUACGGAUUUAUAUGAGAUGAAAAUGAUUUUCUACCUCUCGUGGUGGAGAGUUUUAAAGAAAAAGGAUUUCUGUGUGGGAAACAGUUUUAAAAAGGUUUCUUGGUUUUCAUGACUUAGCGUUUUAAAACGAGUUUCCCGGUAGGAAACAUUUUAAAUAAUAGAUGUAGAUUUAUGGAUAAUUUAUGAUGAAUUAACUGUGGAUGUGAAUGGUGUAUGAAUAUGUGGAUGUUCAUAUGUGUGGUUGUAUCUUGUAUCGUGUAUCUUGUAUCUUGUACUUGUGCGAUGCUGUGCAAAUACAGGGGAGACUCUGUCCAUGUGAACAGUAGACUCCCUAUAUUUGGGGCGGAUCUGGUAUACCCUGGGGGUCAGAUUUUUAUUUUUUUUUAAAUUUAGGUACUUCCAUACGUAUUGACUUUUAUAUCAAAAAGGGACCUCGGGGCGUGACAAUCGCGUGCAGAAUGAGGGCGGAAUUGAGAAGCGCCGCAAAGGCAGGCGCGGAAAGAAAAACUUAAAUAAAGUAAAAUGCUAUAACUG